UACGUAGGGAGCAAGCGUUAUCCGGAAUUAUUGGGUGUAAAGGGUGCGUAGACGGGAUAACAAGUUGGUUGUGAAACCCCUCGGCUCAACUGAGGAACUGCAACCAAAACUAUUAUUCUUGAGUGCAGGAGAGGAAAGUGGAAUUCCUAGUGUAGCGGUGAAAUGCGUAGAUAUUAGGAAGAACACCGGUGGCGAAGGCGACUUUCUGGACUGUAACUGACGUUGUGGCACGAAAGUGUGGGGAGCAAACAGG
rnacentral:rRNA from 1 species